rnacentral:rRNA from 1 species
AACGCGAAGAACCUUACCAAGUCUUGACAUCCCCCUGACCGGUGAGUAAUGUCACCUUUCCUUCGGGACAGGGGAGACAGGUGGUGCAUGGUUGUCGUCAGCUCGUGUCGUGAGAUGUUGGGUUAAGUCCCGCAACGAGCGCAACCCUUAUCCUUAGUAGCCAGCAGGUAAAGSUGGGCACUCUAGGGAGACUGCCAGGGACAACCUGGAGGAAGGUGGGGAUGACGUCAAAUCAUCAUGCCCCUUAUGAUUUGGGCUACACACGUGCUACAAUGGCGUAAACAAAGAGAGGCGAGAGGGCGACCUGGAGCAAAUCUCAAAAAUAACGUCCCAGUUCGGACUGUAGUCUGCAACCCGACUACACGAAGCUGGAAUCGCUAGUAAUCGCGAAUCASAAUGUCGCGGUGAAUACGUUCCCGGGUCUU